rnacentral:rRNA from 1 species
CACACGAGUUUGAUCAUGGCUCAGAUUGAACGCUGGCGGAAUGCUUUACACAUGCAAGUCGAGCGGCAGCGCGGGGGCAACCCUGGCGGCGAGCGGCGAACGGGUGAGUAACAUAUCGGAACGUACCCAGUCGUGGGGGAUAACUAUCCGAAAGGAUAGCUAAUACCGCAUACGUCCUGAGGGAGAAAGCGGGGGAUCGCAAGACCUCGCGCGAUUGGAGCGGCCGAUAUCGGAUUAGCUAGUUGGUGGGGUAAAGGCUCACCAAGGCGACGAUCUGUAGCGGGUCUGAGAGGAUGAUCCGCCACACUGGGACUGAGACACGGCCCAGACUCCUACGGGAGGCAGCAGUGGGGAAUUUUGGACAAUGGGCGCAAGCCUGAUCCAGCCAUGCCGCGUGAAGGAUGAAGGCCCUAUGGGUUGUAAACUUCUUUUGUACGGGAAAAAACCUUCUUACGUGUAAGAAGCUGAUUGUACUGUAAGAAUAAGGAUCGGCUAACUCCGUG